AUGUGAAUAUUUUCGCUGUUCUGAUUUUGUCAUAAUCAGGACAGGCUAAGCAUUCGCUAUAAUAAGACCAGGCAUGUGUCCCCAGGCCUAGUUCAUUACCCACCUAGGUCUGGUCUUAGUAAUGCUGGUGAGAAAU